rnacentral:lncRNA from 1 species
UGAGAAUUCUCUUUUUGAAAUCAUAAGAAUCGAAUGAAUAAUUAUGUACAAGGAAGCAGCCUAUAUAUACAGUUUAUGACUCACUAAAAAACGGAAUAUUCACCUCUCUGUACAUAACAAACUCAACCAAUAAAAUGACACAAUACAAAAACAGCCCAGCAAGGAGCUAACAAAAAGAAAACAAUAAUAACCGAUGCAAAUUAAUAAAAUUCCCAAAAUGGCCUUCAAAUUGUAAGCUGAAUCGGGGAUCAACGUGUAAAAGACUUCAUCAUCAAUUAAGCUUCAGAUUUCAGCUUAUGAUCAUCGUCACCUUUAUAUGUGAAAUCCAAUAGACUAUAUCACCAAUUUGCAUAAAACAUGUAUAUCUGUCGAGAAUUGGUUAUCCACCCAGAACUGUUGAUCCACACAAACUCCAUAUAAAUUGAUCUUUUCUUUGUAUUUGAUUUUGGAGUAACAGUGGAAGAAUUAAAUGGCCCCAUGAUACUAUGCUUCUUACUUAGGUUCAACUGAAAAUCCAAAUCUAACUGGCUUUCAAGUCAAGCUAUAUUUGACUUAACUAGACUGGCAAUGAUUCCGCUUUCAAUAUAAUGUAAAGGUCAAAAUUGCAGAACUAGACCACGCGUAAGUCAGUGAUUAUCAUGUUAAACAGAACUAGCUUUUUACCUGGUUAAGCGGGUUGUCAGGAGAUUUCUUCCACAUCUUCCAGAUCAGAUCUUUGUAUUGUGUCUGUGCAAGACCUGGCUUCUCUUCUUUCACCCUUGGAAUCUCAGCUUCU